rnacentral:rRNA from 1 species
AUGGCGACCGCUGCCGAGCCCGACGACGCCAUGCUCUUUGCCGGCGUGUCCCUCGUGCUGGGCGCCGCCUGCCGCCACCUCCUCGACGGCACGCGCGUCCCCUACACCAUCGCCCUCCUUGUCCUCGGUGUCGCCCUAGGGUCAUUAGAGUACGGGACAAAAGACGGUCUAGGCAAACUUGGAGCUGGCAUGCGUAUCUGGGCUAACAUAAAUCCUGAUCUUCUCCUGGCUGCUUUCCUUCCGGCCCUUUUGUUUGAGAGUGCCUUCUCAAUGGAAGCACACCAGAUAAAGAAAUGCAUGGCGCAGAUGCUCUUACUUGCUGGUCCUGGUGUACUAAUGUCAACAUUUUUGCUUGGCACUGUUCUCAAGCUUACUUCUCCAUAUGAUUGGAACUGGGAAACAUCAUUGUUGCUUGGUGGUCUGCUUAGUGCCACUGAUCCUGUGGCCGUGGUUGCAGUUCUAAAAGAGCUUGGAACAAGUAAAAAGCUCAGUACGAUUAUUGAGGGAGAAUCCUUGAUGAACGAUGGGGUUUCUGUUGUUGUCUAUCAGUUAUUCUUACAAAUGGUGCUCGGAAGAAGCUUCAAUACAGGGUCUAUAUUGAUGUUCUUAUCGGAAGUUUCACUUGGAGCUGUUGCUCUGGGCCUUGCAUUUGCAAUCAUAUCUUUACUAUGGCUUGGCUUUACUUUCAAUGAUACAAUCUUGGCUAACUCUUGCUCUAUAUUGCUUUCUAUACUAUUUUUUUUCACCUCUAAUAUUGUUCACUAUCAGGUGCAAGAUGCACUGAAGUACUCUGGUAUUUUGACCGUCACAGCUUUGGGAAUGUUCUAUGCAGCUUUUGCAAAAACUACUUUUAAGGGCGACAAUCGCCGAAGUUUGCAUGAUUUCUGGGAAAUAGUUGCUUACAUUGCGAACACACUUAUUUUCAUACUGAGUGGGGUUAUUAUUGCAGAUGGCGUGCUAAGACAUAAUGUCCAUUUUGAGAGGCACGGCACUUCAUGGGGGUUUCUUCUUCUGCUCUAUUUCUAUGUACAAAUGGCACGGGCUGCAGUUGUCGGUGCUCUGUAUCUUUUGUUGCGCUACUUUGGGUAUGGUUUGGACUUAAAAGAAGCCAUAAUUAUUGUUUGGUCUGGGCUGCGAGGUGCUGUUUCCCUAUCAUUAGCGCUGUCUGUUAAACGUGCUAGUGAUACAGCUCAACCUUUUCUGAAACCAGAAGUCGGAACAAUGUUUGUGUUCUUCACUGGCGGCAUCGUGUUUCUGACACUAAUAUUGAAUGGUUCUACCACACAAUUUUUGUUGCACGCACUUGGUAUGGACAACCUGUCAGUAACAAAGCUUCGCAUGUUGAAUUAUACUAGACAUGAAAUUCUGAACAAUACAUUAGAAGCUUUUGGUGAUCUCAAAGAUGAUGAGGAGCUUGGUCCUGCUGACUGGGUUACAGUUAAGAAAUAUAUCACAGGCUUGAGUAACUUGGAAGAUGAACAUGCACAUCCACAUGAUGACAAUCAUGAUCACGUACAUACCAUGAAUUUAAAGGAUGGUCGAGUGCGUCUUUUGAAUGUUGAUGAAGCUAUGGAUCUUGUUUCUAGCCGACCAUUAUGCGAUUGGAACAGUUUGCAGUCCAGUGUCCAUUUCCCAAGUUACUAUAGGUUCCUUUCUGCAAGCAUGUUACCACAAAGUUUUAUCACAUACUUCACAGUACAAAGAUUGGAGUCAGGAUGUUACAUCUGUGCUGCAUUUCUUCGUGCUCAUAGAAUUGCAAGGAGACAACUACAAAAUUUUCUUGGUGAUAGUGAGAUUGCAAAAAUUGUUAUUGAUGAAAGUAAUGCUGGGGGAGAGGAAGCUAGGAAGUUCUUGGAAGAAGUUCGCUGUACAUUCCCUCAGCUUCUUUGUGUGCUAAAGACUCGACAAGUAACAUAUGCUGUAUUGACACACUUGAGUGAGAAUGUUCAAAACCUAUGGAAGACUGGGUUACUGGAAGAAAAAGAAAUGGCACAUCUGGAUGAUGCUUGGCAGACAGACCUGAAGAAGCUUAAGAGGAAUCCACAAUUAGUGAAAAUGCCAAGAGUUGGCGAUCUUUUAGGCACUCAUCCAUUAGUCGGCAUGCUGCCUGCUGCUGUGCGUGCUCCUUUGUUAAGCAAUACAAAAGAAAAAGUAAAAGGGCAUGGUGCAGCCCUAUAUAUGGAAGGCUCAAGAGCAACUGGUAUAUGGAUUGUUUCGAUCGGAGCAGUAAAGUGGAGAAGUCAGAGGCUAAGCAGCAGGCAUUCUUUGCACCCAAUUUUCCCACAUGGAAGCACUUUGGGUCUAUACGAGGUGCUAACAGGAAAGUCUUGUCUCUGUGACAUGAUUACAGAUUCUCUCGUGCGCUGUUUCUUUAUUGAAGCUGAAAAGAUAGAUCAAUUGCGUCGGUCAGAUCCUUCUGUUGAGGCUUUUCUGUGGCAGUUGCAGGAAAAUGCUGCAGUCAUUGCUAAGCUCUUGAUCCCACGUGUGUUCGAGAAAAUGACAAUGCAAGAGACGCGGCUUCUCGUCAGCACAGGAUCUACUAUGAACUUGUACACCAAGGGUGAAGACAUCAUGCUCGAGCAUAAUUACAUCGGCAUCUUACUAGAAGGAACUUUGAAGGCGGAGAACCAAAACAGCAUCUUACCUCCAGGAGUGCUGCUGCCAUCAAACAUGGACCUGGAGUUACUUGGUCUGGAGUCUUCAGCUAUGAACCGUAUGGACAGUUGCUACGCAGCAGACAGCUAUCAGGUGGAAGCCCAAGCUAGAGUUCUCAUCUUCGAAGUAGGGAGGCUGUUCACGGAGGCCAAUGGGCAGAGGAACCAGCCGGGUGGUAGCUUCUCUGCUGAAGCCUUGCAGCUCAGCGUGGAAGAAUCCACUGGAGAAGAACAAGUCAUCAUUACCGUCGACUCUCCGAACAAGCUGCCCUUGGGUGAUUCAUCAGCUGGCUCAUCAUCUGGCGUGACGCGAGGCAGCUGA